ensembl:misc_RNA Metazoa_SRP Metazoan signal recognition particle RNA
GCUGGGCAUGGUGGUGCCUGCCUGUAGUCCCAGCUACUUGGGAGGCUGAGGUGGGAGGAUCAUUUGUGCCCAGGAGGCUGAAGCUGCGGUGAGCUGAAAUCAUGUCACUGGACUCCAGCCUGGGCAACAGAGCAAGACCCUGUCUCUU